CACUGCUCCUGGGAGGGGGUGGCCAAGGGACGCCAGGGAUGGAAGACAGUGAGGCUCCGAGUGGCUGGGCAGGUUUGUGAGAGCCCCAGGGAGAAGCAAGAACACAGUUGCCAUUCAACAACACAUCCAAAGUUCUGGAGCUCGCUCUCCUGGCCGCUCAGAUUCCAGGCACUUUUGCUGUCUUGCAGGAGCCCUGGCCGGAGGGCCCCUGGGCCCAAACCCAGACCUGGACAGGGCCUCCUGGAUGGGUUGAUAUUCCUGCGUGGUUUAUCAACCCCUGUGUAUGCAGCCGGAGGCCUCCACAGAUAAAAAGACUUCUCAACUUCAAACUGUUAUCAAGGUGAGGCUAUAUUCCAGGGUCGUCCAGGAUAGCCCUGAGAAGUCAAAUCCUCAAGCCGGACACCAAACCCCAGUUUCCAGGCUGGGACACAGACAGGAGAGUGGAGAGGAGUGCUGAGAAGUGACGGUGGGCGAGAGUGCGAGAAAGUUAUCAGGAAGACUAGGGAGCAGCCGGAGGAACGGAACCGACUGGAAGGGAAGGCCGGCUGCUGACCUGAACAGUCGCUGGGAAGUCACGCUGCCGGAAGGUCCCAGGGCCCCGGGCCCCGCAGAGGCGGAGCUGCCCCAGCCUGGGCCCUUGGCUUCCAGGCCCCCACCGAUGCCCGCUACCGCCACCUCUGCCUCUCCAGACACCCGCGUCCUCACAGGUGCUCCCGCACACUCUCCACACGCGGCCGGCGGCCGAGCUGGCCCCGCGGCGGCGGACUUACCUGGGCGGCGGCGGCGGCGGCGCUGGACCGGAGCGGCUGCGGGAAGGUGCGGCGGAUGCGAGCGCUCGAGUCCCGUCCCGCCCGGCUCCCUCCCGCCCUCGCCCGGGAGGUGAGUGUCCGAGCGGCCACGUGUCUGUCCGGCGGGGAAGUCCCAGGGAGCGAAGAAGUCUGCCUGGCCGCCCGCUCCCCCUCCCGGGUAUAAAUCUUGGGGACCGGAAAUACAAUAAAACUUCACCGUGUUGAUG